rnacentral:rRNA from 1 species
UACGAGGGGGGCAAGCGUUGUUCGGAAUUAUUGGGCGUAAAGGGCGCGUAGGCGGUGCGGUAAGUCACCUGUGAAAACUCUGGGCUCAACUCAGAGCCUGCAGGCGAAACUGCCGUGCUUGAGUGUGGGAGAGGUGCGUGGAAUUCCCGGUGUAGCGGUGAAAUGCGUAGAUAUCCGGAGGAACACCAGUGGCGAAGGCGACACGCUGGGCCGUACCUGACACUGAUGCGCGACAGCAUGGGGAGCAAACAGG